rnacentral:rRNA from 1 species
GACGAACGCUGGCGGCGUGCCUAACACAUGCAAGUCGAACGGGACUUAAUGGAAUGCGGCUUCGGCCAAAGGAAGUUAAGUUUAGUGGCGAACGGGUGAGUAACGCGUGAGUAACCUGCCUUUCAGUGGGGGACAACAGUUGGAAACGACCGCUAAUACCGCAUGACACACAAAGACCGCAUGGUUUUUGUGUCAAAGCUUUAUGUGCUGAAAGAUGGACUCGCGUCUGAUUAGCUAGUUGGCGGGGUAACGGCCCACCAAGGCGACGAUCAGUAGCCGGACUGAGAGGUUGAACGGCCACAUUGGGACUGAGAUACGGCCCAG